AGGAGAAAGAGUGGUUCUAGUGGUUAUUACUGGAGCUGCACAAAUAUUGUUGUUUUGACUGGUAGUGAGAAUCGGGUUUAUUUUUUCACAGGAACCACAAGUGUGAUGCGCAGGUUCCUUUUAGAACAUGACACCAUGGAAAGAGCAACAAUCUCUGGCCUCGACAUUCCCGCUUUUCCUGGUGAGACACACAUGUGCACAAUGGGUCCUAAAAAAUAACCCAAAGCGCAGAUGUUUAAUCCACCAACACCAAGGGUCUGCUAGAAAUAUCUCACUUUCUACAAUGCUCUUGCAGUGUGUCAUGCUCAGUUGCUCCAUCAUGUCUGACUCUUUGUGACCCUACGGAUUGUAGCCCGCCAGGCUCCUCUGUUCAUGAAAUUCUCCAGGCAAAAAUACCGGAAUGGGUUGCCAUUUUCUCCUCCAGGGGAUCUGCCAGACCCAAGGAUCAAAGCUGUGUCUCGUGGAUCUCCGGCAUUGGCAGGUAGAUUCUUUAUCAUUGGGCCGCCUGGGAAACCCCCUAGCUCAGAGUCCCCUGGCUAUCAGUGAUCACAUGGUUGGUGAAAUGGGAGGGAAGGGGGAACUCUGAGAAGUUCUAAUGUUUUACAGAGCUUUUAGCUGUGUUCCCCUGGCCCUGUGUUGCUUGCUGUAUGACCUAGAAAAUACU
ensembl:lncRNA